rnacentral:lncRNA from 1 species
CUUCUUUUUACGCUAUUUUUUUUAGAUUCUUUUUUCGCAGCGCGUGUCAUUUGGGUAAUUCGUCGUCGUGUCGAUCAUUAGUUUUCAAGAUGCGCGGUUAAUUCUGAUUUUUCUUUCAAGUACUGUCUCGAAUCUUGUGCUAUUUCGUUUCACAAAACGUGACUCAAUCCAUCAAGUAAUGGGACGCCGAAAUUUAAGCCGGGUGUCGUCCCAUCGCCCUCCUCAACCUCUGAAUGAUGAUCUGUACAAAUACAAGUGCGGAUCUCAAGGGAAAUUAACUACACCGAAACACAUUCGACUGCCAAAAAUCGUUGAAGAUAGUGCACUCAUGUUUGAAAUAGUCAUGUUUGUCUUCACAUACGCCGCAACUUUUUCCAUUCCUCAAUCUUUACCGCUCAGUUUGGUGGCUCCCACAUUCUCACACAAGCUAUACAAUGAAUUUCUACCUAAUAAAUCCAUAUCUGGUUGGAUUUAUUUCCACUGUCCUUGGGUGCAGAUUGCUGUAUCGUCUAAUUUGGUUUUUCACUUCAAAAAUAUGCCCAACUUUCAUGAAGAACACUGUUCAGAAGUGUAUACGAGUUUUACUAUUGAUUGCUACAAUGUCAGUUUUAUUGUACUGCACAUAUCAAAUCAUGCAGAGUCAUCCAAUAGUCAGCAUUUUUUAUUUAUGUUACCCGUAAGUACUGCUCUUUUUUCCUGUUUUGUUCUUAGUUUUAUAAUUUAUGUUGUUUGCCAGGUGCCUGGCAUGUUUAUUUCGUUAAAUGAAUAAUUCUAAAGAUUUUGUAAGUUUCAUGGAAUCAGGAUUGAUUCCAAACAAGUCCGGAGCACUCUUUCUGAUACUCAAUUUUUCCUGCCGAAACCAUUUUUAGGGCAGUCAAAUCCUAGUUGCCCCAGGACAGCAAAAAGUCAAAUCUGGGUAUGUAAAAGAGCUUGCUGCUGAUUAGCUUGUGAAUUUAGCUCACCAGCUGGUGAGCAAACGGUGGAAUGGGCACUAUACAUAUUUUUGUGAGAAAUAAUUGUGAGCAAACGUCCUUUUUGCCCUUUAUCUUAAAACUUCUUGAACCUCUGACUGAAGCUGAAGAUUUGAGUGUGUUUAAAUUUUCCUUGCGCAAAGAAAAUUUAAUUAUUGGAAAGUUUUCUGAGAGAGACCUCGCCAACGUUAUGAAAUACAGUAAUGACACUACGCUCGAAACAAAAACAAUCAAAUGUUUUACCUUCUCUCAGCUCUGUUAGUAUAAUGAGAGUAGAAAAUGUACCAUCUGUGAGUGUAAUUGUAAAUUUAAUUUUCUUUCUUUCUUUUCCUACCUUCAGGAUAUCAGUGUAUUUUAUUUUGUCGGAGUGACAGUCCAACCUCUUUUUGAUAUCAUUCCUUACCCAACUGUCAGUUGUGAUGAAGAAUGGCCCCCCACCAGGUAAGCCAUGUUAAAGCGUUGAAGAUUUUCUUCAGAUUGUGAUAUCAUAUUGUAAAUAUCAUAUAUUUAUCAUAUUGAUGAAAUUGCUAAAGGACCCUGCCUACUCCUCGUGAGAAUGUGUAUCACAAUCGAUUUCCAAUUUUUUUUUUGCAUUGAAAUCAGAUUGGAUGCUGAUCAAAAGUCAUCAUUGCGCCAACUCUCUACAAGGCACCACUUUUGCAGUAUUUCGCACAAUCCACAGUGGAAGUUUCAAUACUUACUUGAAUAUGUGAGGCUAGUGCGGCAAUAUCUAUAUUUCAGCACUUACUAAAAACGAGGAAAACCUUGGAGUCUUAUCUCUGAUUCUGCACAUCUUUUCGUUUCACUGUCCUAAUCAGAUUCUUUCUCUCUUCCACUCCUUUCCUUGCCUAUCACCGGUUUAGGCUUUCCCACCCUGUUAAGGUGAUUCCUUAAGCUCACAGUGACAUGGUCGAACUGGCAUGCGGUAUAUCACAUCGAUUUGGUCAAAAAUCUCUGCAGAUUUUGAAUUUUUAGCUAAAUAAAGGAUGAUAGUCCCUGCACAUAAGCCUAAAGAAUCAUUCAAACAAACUUGCAUUUGAUACAGCUAUCGAUUUCUGUAUAAAAUGCAAGGCUUUUUCCCUAACACUAUUACGCUUUCAUUUCUCUGAACUUUCCAAUUUCUAGAAUUAGAAUGAUUCGUUAGGCUCAUGCGCAGGGACUAUCGUCCUUUAUUUGGCUAAAAAUUCAAAAUCUGCCUGGAUUUUUG